GACGAACGCUGGCGGCGUGCCUAAUACAUGCAAGUAGAACGCUGAAGAGAGGAGCUUGCUCUUCUUGGAUGAGUUGCGAACGGGUGAGUAACGCGUAGGUAACCUGCCUUGUAGCGGGGGAUAACUAUUGGAAACGAUAGCUAAUACCGCAUAACAAUGGAUGACACAUGUCAUUUAUUUGAAAGGGGCAAUUGCUCCACUACAAGAUGGACCUGCGUUGUAUUAGCUAGUAGGUGCGGUAAUGGCUCACCUAGGCGACGAUACAUAGCCGAACUGAGAGGGUGAGCGGCCACACUGGGACGGAGACACGGCCCAGACGCCUACGGGAGGCAGCAGGAGGGAAUCGUCGGCAAGGGGGGCAACCCUGACCGAGCAACGCCGCGGGAGUGAAGAAGGGUGUCGGAUCGUAAAGCUCGGUUGUAAGUCAAGAACGGGUGUGAGAGUGGAAAGUUCACACUGUGACGGUAGCUUACCAGAAAGGGACGGCUAACUACGUG
rnacentral:rRNA from 1 species